rnacentral:rRNA from 1 species
UUGCAUAGGGAACUACCUAGUAGUAUGGGAUAGCCACUAGAAAUGGUGGGUAAUACUGUAUAAUCCCUGCGGGGGAAAGAUUUAUCGCUAUUAGAUGAGCCUAUGUUAGAUUAGCUAGUUGGUGGGGUAAAGGCCUACCAAGGCAGUGAUCUAUAGCUGGUCUGAGAGGAUGAUCAGCCACACUGGAACUGAGAUACGGUCCAGACUCCUACGGGAGGCAGCAGUGGGGAAUAUUGGACAAUGGGCGCAAGCCUGAUCCAGCUAUGCCGCGUGAGUGAGGAAGGCCUUAGGGUUGUAAAACUCUUUCAGUGGGGAAGAUAAUGACGGUACCCACAGAAGAAGUCCCGGCAAACUCCGUGCCAGCAGCCGCGGUAAUACGGAGGGGGCAAGCGUUGUUCGGAAUUAUUGGGCGUAAAGGGCAUGUAGGCGGUUCGGUAAGUUAAAGGUGAAAUGCCAGGGCUUAACCCUGGAGCUGC